rnacentral:rRNA from 1 species
UUUUCCUACGGAGGCAGCAGUGGGGGAUAUUGCACAAUGGGGGAAACCCUGAUGCAGCGACGCCGCGUGAGUGAAGAAGUAUUUCGGUAUGUAAAGCUCUAUCAGCAGGGAAGAAGAUGACAGUACCUGAGUAAGAAGCCCCGGCUAACUACGUGCCAGCAGCCGCGGUAAUACGUAGGGGGCAAGCGUUAUCCGGAUUUACUGGGUGUAAAGGGAGCGUAGACGGUUAUGUAAGUCUGGAGUGAAAGCCCGGGGCCCAACCCCGGGACUGCUUUGGAAACUGUGUAAC